rnacentral:rRNA from 1 species
AUGAACGCUAGCGACAGGCUUAACACAUGCAAGUCGAGGGGCAGCACAGGUAGCAAUACCGGGUGGCGACCGGCGCACGGGUGAGUAACGCGUAUGCAACUUACCUAUCAGAGGGGGAUAACCCGGCGAAAGUCGGACUAAUACCGCAUGAAGCAGGGGCCCCGCAUGGGGAUAUUUGCUAAAGAUUUAUCGCUGAUAGAUAGGCAUGCGUUCCAUUAGGCAGUUGGCGGGGUAACGGCCCACCAAACCGACGAUGGAUAGGGGUUCUGAGAGGAAGGUCCCCCACAUUGGUACUGAGACACGGACCAAACUCCUACGGGAGGCAGCAGUGAGGAAUAUUGGUCAAUGGGCGCGAGCCUGAACCAGCCAAGUCGCGUGAGGGAUGAAGGUUCUAUGGAUCGUAAACCUCUUUUAUAAGGGAAUAAAGUGCGGGACGUGUCCCGUUUUGUAUGUACCUUAUGAAUAAGGAUCGGCUAACUCCGUGCCAGCAGCCGCGGUAAUACGGAGGAUCCGAGCGUUAUCCGGAUUUAUUGGGUUUAAAGGGUGCGUAGGCGGCCUUUUAAGUCAGCGGUGAAAGUCUGUGGCUCAACCAUAGAAUUGCCGUUGAAACUGGGGGGCUUGAGUAUGUUUGAGGCAGGCGGAAUGCGUGGUGUAGCGGUGAAAUGCUUAGAUAUCACGCAGAACCCCGAUUGCGAAGGCAGCCUGCCAAGCCAUGACUGACGCUGAUGCACGAAAGCGUGGGGAUCAAACAGGAUUAGAUACCCUGGUAGUCCACGCAGUAAACGAUGAUCACUAGCUGUUUGCGAUACACUGUAAGCGGCACAGCGAAAGCGUUAAGUGAUCCACCUGGGGAGUACGCCGGCAACGGUGAAACUCAAAGGAAUUGACGGGGGCCCGCACAAGCGGAGGAACAUGUGGUUUAAUUCGAUGAUACGCGAGGAACCUUACCCGGGUUUGAACGCAUUCGGACCGAGGUGGAAACACCUUUUCUAGCAAUAGCCGUUUGCGAGGUGCUGCAUGGUUGUCGUCAGCUCGUGCCGUGAGGUGUCGGCUUAAGUGCCAUAACGAGCGCAACCCUUGCCACUAGUUACUAACAGGUAAAGCUGAGGACUCUGGUGGGACUGCCAGCGUAAGCUGCGAGGAAGGCGGGGAUGACGUCAAAUCAGCACGGCCCUUACAUCCGGGGCGACACACGUGUUACAAUGGCGUGGACAAAGGGAUGCCACCUGGCGACAGGGAGCGAAUCCCCAAACCACGUCUCAGUUCGGAUCGGAGUCUGCAACCCGACUCCGUGAAGCUGGAUUCGCUAGUAAUCGCGCAUCAGCCAUGGCGCGGUGAAUACGUUCCCGGGCCUUGUACACACCGCCCGUCAAGCCAUGGGAGCCGGGGGUACCUGAAGUCCGUAACCGCGAGGAUCGGCCUAGGGUAAAACUGGUGACUGGGGCU